AUAUUUAAUAAUAAUUUAAAAAAUAGGCCAUAGGGCCCAUGCCGGGAGCUAGAGGGAAGACAGCUGAUCGUCAUUAGGAGGUGGAGGCGAUCCUCAUAUGCAGACAGUCAAGACCCCCACAUGGAUUCGAUUUCGUCCGGCCCCAGCUCUCCUGCCGGGCUCGGCCGCACCAACAUGUACCAGCAGGGUCCGCGCAGCCCAGGCCUGAGCGCUCGCCUUUCCUGCCACCGGUUCCUGGCCGGGCUGACCCGAGGAGGACAAAUGACCCGCCAGCCAGGGAAUACAUUCUGCAGACAAUCAGGCACCUGCCGGGGCCUGGACCUCCCCCGAUAAUGAACCGGCCUUCGUUAUCCUCAAAGAUGUUUUCUAAGAAGAAAACCUGUGGCCCGACUCUUGGAAAAAUGAUUUCACAGAGCUUGGGCCUGGGGAGGAACUGCUCGCACCAGUCCCUGGACCACCUGCCGGAGACGGAAAAACUGUUCUCCCGGGUCAGACACUGAUUCAGUCCUGCUGGUGGGAUGAGAUGUGGUUCCGGGAGCGGCCGCAGCCAUCUCGAACCCAGCGUGGCGAUGAAGCCAGUCCUGAAAUCUGCCCUCCCUCUAGACUGCUC